rnacentral:rRNA from 1 species
UCCUACGGGGGGCUGCAGUCGAGAAUCUUCGGCAAUGGGCGCAAGCCUGACCGAGCGACGCCGCGUGGAGGAUGAAGGCCUUCGGGUUGUAAACUCCUGUCGAGGGGGAGGAAGGGGCAACCUUGACCUAUCCCUGGAGGAAGCACGGGCUAAGUUCGUGCCAGCAGCCGCGGUAAGACGAACCGUGCGAACGUUAUUCGGAAUUACUGGGCUUAAAGCGCGUGUAGGCGGAUGACCACGGCAGUCGUUGAAAUCCCCCGGCUCAACCGGGGAACAGGCGCUGAUACGAGUUGUCUGGAGGUGGGUAGGGGAAACUGGAACUUCCGGUGGAGCGGUGAAAUGCGUUGAGAUCGGAAGGAACGCCCGCGGCGAAAGCGAGUCUCUGGACCCAUUCUGACGCUGAGACGCGAAAGCCAGGGGAGCAAACGGGAUUAGAUACCCGUAGUC